rnacentral:rRNA from 1 species
CCUACGGGAGGCAGCAGUAAGGAAUAUUGGUCAAUGGAGGCAACUCUGAACCAGCCAUGCCGCGUGCAGGAAGAAGGCCCUAUGGGUCGUAAACUGCUUUUGUACCAGAGAAAACCCGAGUACGUGUACUCGGUUGAUAGUAUGGUAAGAAUAAGCAUCGGCUAACUUCGUGCCAGCAGCCGCGGUAAGACGAAGGAUGCAAGCGUUAUCCGGAUUCAUUGGGUUUAAAGGGUGCGUAGGCGGACUGAUAAGUCAGUGGUGAAAUCUCUCGGCUUAACCGAGAAACUGCCAUUGAUACUGUUAGUCUAGAGUAUAGAUGACGUUGGCGGAAUAUGACAUGUAGUGGUGAAAUACUUAGAUAUGUCAUAGAACACCGAUUGCGAAGGCAGCUAACGAAACUAUAACUGACGCUGAGGCACGAAAGUGCGGGGAUCAAACAGGAUUAGAUACCCUGGUAGUCCGCACCGUAAACGAUGAUUACUCGUUGUUGGCAAUAUGACCGUCAGCGACCAAGCGAAAGCGAUAAGUAAUCCACCUGGGGAGUACGCCGGCAACGGUGAAACUCAAAGGAAUUGACGG